UUUUUUUUUUUUGUCAAUUGCUGUAAAUUGUCAAUUUCAAAAUCACAGAAAAAUCUCUGAAUUUGAGGGAAAUGGUUAAGAAUUUUUUGCAUGAUGGAUGAGCUCUUUUAUUUACAUCUUUUUUUUCCUGUUCACCUAUUUCUGUUCUGUAAUUUCCAUUUUGUCUUUCCAGUCAAGCAGAAGUUUGACAUCUGACGAGCUGACGAGACUGGAACAGAAGUAGAUGAUGUUUUUGCUGACAUUAUUGACCAAAAGCCUGACUUUCUUUGGAUGAUAGUUGAUGCUGUGGCUGUAGCACGUAUGAAAAGAUGUAAUUAUAUCUAUAUGUGUAUAUAUGCUAUUGUACUAAUUUUCUAUUUGACUUUAAGACUCUCCUGCACACGCAAGCUGUCAUCUUCAAAUGAGACAGAUACACCAUCACUUCAUUCAGUUGCAUCAUCGUCGGACACACAGCCAUCAGACAGCGAUGGUCCUUUCUUCCCACCUAAAAGAGCUCGUUCUAAUGACCAUUUGCAAGAAGCUAAGGAGCUUGUGAAAAGUGUUUUAGAAAAGCCUGCUGGGGAGAAGAUAUUUCAGAACACUGCCACACCAGUCAAGGAGGUACAGGCAGUUCAUUAUGUAUGCUAAUCAAGAGCAAGGAUAAUCACUUUGUGUAGAUAAAAUAGCUUAUGUAUAUUGGUAUAUGAUUAUAUAGAUUUGUUAUGGUUUGCGUUUUCUUUUUUGAAUUUAGACUGGGACAGUGUUAUGUAUUCCCAGUUAUUGCUGGUCUAUCUCCUGCCACCACCUUCUAGCGGAAAUAAGUUUGUCAAGAUCAGUGUGCGUGAAGCUUUGGAUCGCGUAGUAAGAUUUCACAAGGUAUGCUUACUCUUAAUGUUAUGUAGAACUGCAUGUCAUGCCUAGAAUGCUUAUUAAUGUGUAGGUGUACAUUAUUUUUCGAGAAUGUUUUUUUUUCUGUUUUCAGUCCUCUUGCAGUUUUGAAGAAGUCCUUGGAUCAACACAGACAACACAGCCCUACAUCUUGACAGUUGGCACUUUGAAGAGUAGCAUCCAUUACUACUACACUGCUGCGGAUGAGCGGCUCACCCCCUGCAUGACUAAGUCCUCUCUCUCAGCCUUUGAACUUCUCAAUGUAUUGAUAUUUUAAUAUUUCUGAAAACUAUGCAGUGAAUAUCAUGCAUGACUUGAUAGAGGGAGUAGCACAGUUAGAGAUGAAGUUGCUGUUUAUCAAAGUUGUGUCCUUACAGACUGUGAGCAACAGAAUUUACUCAUUUAACUAUGGUUAUUUUGAACGUAAAAACUGACCUACCGUGGUUAAGUUUGAAGAAGCUGGGAAUGGGAUGGGUCUCAAUGCCACCCAGACAUUUUGCCUCAUUAGAAAUCUGCUUCUACUGCAGAUAAUAAAUAGUGUUUUCUCCAGUCA
ensembl:lncRNA